rnacentral:rRNA from 1 species
UUUGGGGAAACUCGGACGGUUAGCGGCGGACGGGUGAGUAACACGUGGGUAACCCACCUGGGGGACCGGGAUAACGGCUCGAAAGGGCCGCUAAUACCGGAUACGCUCCCUGGGGCACAAGCCUCGGGGAGGAAAGGUCGCGCAAGCAGCCACUCCCGGACGGGCCCGCGGCCCAUUAGCUAGUUGGCGGGGUAACGGCCCACCAAGGCAAUGAUGGGUAGCCGGUCUGAGAGGAUGACCGGCCACACGGGGACUGAGACACGGCCCCGACUCCUACGGGAGGCAGCAGUGGGGAAUCUUCCGCAAUGGGCGAAAGCCUGACGGAGCGACGCCGCGUGGGGGACGAAGGCCUUCGGGUCGUAAACCCCUGUCAGAGGGAAAGAAGGGUGCCGGCGUGAACAGCGUCGGCAUUUGACGGUACCCUCAGAGGAAGCCACGGCCAACUCCGUGCCAGCAGCCGCGGUAAUACGGAGGUGGCAAGCGUUGCUCGGAAUCACUGGGCGUAAAGGGCGCGUAGGCGGGGAGGUAAGUCGGGUGUGAAAUCCCUCGGCCCAACUGAGGAACUGCGCCCGAGACUGCUUCUCUUGAGUCCCGGAGAGGAAGGUGGAAUUCCCGGUGUAGCGGUGAAAUGUGUAGAGAUCGGGAGGAACACCGGUGGCGAAGGCGGCCUUCUGGACGGUGACUGACGCUGAGGCGCGAAAGCGUGGGGAGCAAACGGGAUUAGAUACCCCGGUAGUCCACGCUGUAAACGAUGGGUGCUAGGUGUGGGGGGGUAUCGACCCCUCCCGUGCCGAAGCUAACGCAUUAAGCACCCCGCCUGG